rnacentral:rRNA from 1 species
UACAGAGGGGGCAAGCGUUAUUCGGAAUUAUUGGGCGUAAAGGGCGCGUAGGCGGCCUGGCAAGUGGAAGGUGAAAUCCCUCGGCUUAACCGAGGAACUGCCCUCCAAACUGCUUGGCUUGAGUCCGGGAGAGGUGAGUGGAAUUCCCAGUGUAGAGGUGAAAUUCGUAGAUAUUAGGAAGAACACCAGUGGCGAAGGCGGCUCACUGGCCCGGAACUGACGCUGAGGUACGAAAGCGUGGGGAGCAAACAGG